CUCCAUAGCGUAUAUUAAAGUUGUUGCAGUUAAAAAGCUCGUAGUUGAAUUUUGGAUUCUUCCCAUCGGUCCAUCUUUUAGAUGAGUACUGGUUGUGUGGGGUCUAUCCGCCUGGUGAUACGUAAUGUCCUUUAUUGGGUGUUGCGGGUAGUCAGGACCUUUACCUUGAAAAAAUUAGAGUGUUUAAAGCAGGCUUAUGCCGGAAUACAUUAGCAUGGAAUAAUAGAAUAGGACGAAGUUGUUUUAUUUUGUUGGUUUCUAGGACAACCGUAAUGAUUAAUAGGGAUAGUUGGGGGCAUUAGUAUUCAAUUGUCAGAGGUGAAAUUCUUGGAUUUAUUGAAGACUAACUACUGCGAAAGCAUUUGCCCAGGAUGUUUUCAUCCAUCAAGACCGAACGUUUGGGGAAGGGGGGACGGACGGAGAAAAACCCAAAAUUUAACUAACAACUUUUUA
rnacentral:rRNA from 1 species